UACGAAGGGGGCUAGCGUUGUUCGGAUUUACCGGGCGUAAAGCGCACGUAGGCGGAUUGUUAAGUCGGGGGUGAAAUCCUGGAGCUCAACUUCAGAAUUGCCUUCGAUACUGGCUUUCUAGAGGCUGGAAGAGGUUAGUGGAAUUCCCAGUGUAGAGGUGAAAUUCGUAGAUAUUGGGAAGAACACCGAUGGCGAAGGCAGCCAUCUGGACCGACACUGACGCUGAGGCGCGAAAGCGUGGGGAGCAAACAGG
rnacentral:rRNA from 1 species